GCCAACUGCUUUUCCAACUGCCUUACCCAACCAACCAACCAACCCACUGAAACCAACCAACUGCCCCCACCCAAACCUUGGGCUAAGUCCUUUUAUAAACAGCUGAAAUGGGGAAAACACACAGAGAGGCCAGCAUUGGGAUUAGAAAAUAGAAGAAUUUGCUUCUUCACCUUCUUUCACUUUGGCACAGAGCAGAGCACAGAUUAACUCCUUACAGUCCAGGAUGGUAAAAAGACUGGCGUAAUAAAUACAAUCGUGUUCAUUUGGUUGUGAAGACAUUUGUGGCUGCAAAACCGGGCUGGACUUUUACAAACUAGGUUUAGAGGGAAGGGCUUUCAAGUCUGCAGUCUGUAGGAAGAAGACUACAUUCCCAGCACCAGAGGAGUGUGGUGAUGUUCAGAAAAGGCUGGUUUGAUGUGCCACAUUACUUUUUCAACAGCAGUUUUCUUUCUGCAUCUUAAUAGAAAAUCCCUGACCUUGAAAUGAGAUGAGUAAUUGGUGUUAAAUCCGAGAAAUAAAAAUGUAAAUAAUCCUCUAUUAUGACUCUUACAAUAACAGAACAUGACAUUGGGGC